rnacentral:rRNA from 1 species
CCUACGGGAGGCAGCAGUGAGGAAUCUUGGUCAAUGGACGGAAGUCUGAACCAGCCAUGCCGCGUGCAGGAUGACGGCUCUAUGAGUUGUAAACUGCUUUUGUACGAGAAUAAUAGUUCUUACGUGUAUGGAUUUGCAUGUAUCGUACGAAUAAGGAUCGGCUAACUCCGUGCCAGCAGCCGCGGUAAUACGGAGGGUUCGAGCGUUAUCCGGAUUUAUUGGGUUUAAAGGGUGCGUAGGCGGUCGGAUAAGUUAGAGGUAAAAGGUCGGGGCGUAACCCCGGGCUUGCAUCUGAUACUGGUCGACUAGAGAGCAGAUGCGGCAGGCGGAAUGAGUAGUGUAGCGGUGAAAUGCUUAGAUAUUA